CUGGUACAAACUUAAGAGUCAAGACGUACCUAAGACUACUUCCGAGUCGUGUGUUUUUAUACCUACGUAUAGUUUACUGGUCCAAAAGCAAAGGUGUGGGUGUGUGCGUUAAACACUCAGGUCCACUAGAAUUAGGGCUUGUACGCCUGCGAACAGGUCGUAAAACAAAGAUGGCGGCUUUCUACAGGGUGAAGAGAAACUGUUUGUUUGACUCGAGGUUUGACUUUGGCUGACUGCUAAAUGUCCGAUAAAAAACUUUUUGUUUUUUCCUAGAAGAUUUUCCAAAGUAACAUCGUAAAGCUUUUUCGUGAGUGACCGUGCGUGCUUUUUUAAUAAUAUCGAUGGUUUAUUCAUAUAUUCAUAAUUAUUUUGUUAUGCAGACAUUCCAACUCUCCCGAUUUUACCGGGAGUAUCCCGAAAAUUCAUGCAAUCUCCCGGUCUCCCGAUUUUUAUCAAAUUCUCCCGAUUUUUCAGAAUAUUCAGGAAAUAUCAUAAAAAAAAUUAUAAAUGUACUGUUUUUAGCAACAUAAUAGUCUGUCUCGGACCUUUUUUGAAGUUACUUUAUGGCAAUUUAUAGGAUAUUUAUAACAACAUAGUCCCCAAAUGCAGGAAACGCCAUUUCAGAAGACUUAAUUUUUAUCUAAUGUUUACAACAUGAGCGGGCCGUGUUGUAUCAGAUAUACAAACUCGAGCCGAAGGCGAGAGUUCGUAUAUCUGAUACAACACGGACGCGAAUGUUGUAAACAACUUAAAAAACGACUCAACUUAUGAGUUCAUUGGCGAAGUAAUUUUAAAAAUAAACGUUGUCUAUUAGGCCGAGAAAAUCAAAGUUAAAGUUUAUGUAAAUCAACAUGAAUCUGUAUCACAUAUACAUGCAGAUACGACACGCUUAUGAUUUUUCUUUGUGUUUUCUUCAUGAAUUAUUAAUGAGUUUUUUAAUAUUUUUUCCCAGAAGAACUAGAUUUCAAUUCACUGAACAGUCUCCCUAACCUGGUUAUGGUAGCUACAUUUUAACAUUUAUAGUCGCAUCAUUUAGAUUUUAGAAUUAUGUUACGUCAAAAUUUUGUUUAUAUGGUGCAUUAGUCACAGGACAUCUUUAAUACAAUUAUAGGAUUGCUCAUAAGUUGAGUUUAAGUUAUUAAAUAAAAUGUAUUUACAGAUUGUAUGUAUUUUUUCAUUUUUAUAUAGAGC